CGUCUAGGCGGAUGCGUCAGUCGGGUAUGAAAUCCUUCGGCUCAACCGGGGAACGGUGCCCGAUACUGCGUGUCUUGAGUGCAGCAGAGGAGAGUGGAAUUCCUGGUGGAGCGGUGAAAUGCGUAGAUAUCAGGAGGAACGCCGGAGGCGAAAGCGAUUCUCUGGGCUGUCACUGACGCUGAAGCGCGAAAGCUAGGGGAGCAAACGGGAUUAGAUACCCCGGUAGUCCUAGCUGUAAACGAUGGGCACUAGGUAGGGGGAGUUCCGACGCUUUCUCUGCCGUAGCUAACGCAUUAAGUGCCCCGCCUGGGGAGUACGGUCGCAAGGCUAAA
rnacentral:rRNA from 1 species